ACAUUUUGAAAAACCUGAUUGGAACUUUCACCGAAAAAGAUAUUGAACUGAUCUUGUUAAUGCUGAAAAACGUGGGUUUUUCAUUGAGGAAAGAUGAUGCUUUAUCACUUAAGGAACUGAUCACUGAAGCCCAGACCAAAGCCGGCGGGGCAGGCAGCAAGUUUCAGGACCAGACCAGGGUACGCGUGUGACGCUUGAUCUGCUUCCUAAGUCCCUAAAGCUCACAAACUGGCCAGAACCUAAAAAUCAGUAUCUGGGAUGCGGUUUAUGCUGGAGACGAUGUUGGCCCUGAAGAACAAUGACAUGCGCAAAAUUCCAGGCUAUGACCCUGAGCCCGUGGAGAAGCUGAGGAAACUGCAGAGAGCUUUGGUCCGCAACGCCGGCUCAGGUUCUGAGACUCAGCUUCGCGUCUCUUGGGACAGCGUCUUGAAUGCGGAGCGGACGGGUCGCUGGUGGAUUGUGGGGUCCGCCUGGAGUGGGGCCCCGAUGAUCGACAACAGUCACCAUACGCACCUGCAGAAGCAGCUUGUGGGGACGGUAGGGACACCCAUGCUCAAGGCUGCCAGGCAGUGGCACCUCACUGUGUGGUGUGUGGUCCCAGCUUUACCUGGAGCAGCUCUCUUACUGUUCUUGAAUGGUCACUGAAAUGUACAAGGUUUAUUUGGAGGCCUUACAGAAAUUGCUAUUAAUAUUACAUUGUGAUAUAAUUAUUCC
rnacentral:sRNA from 1 species